UAUGCUUAGCCAUGCUUAAUUACCACUAGCUCAGUUGAUGGGAUAAUUACAGUAUUAGACCUUUUUAGUAUCAGAAUGAGCUGCGUGCUCGAGACACCUGGCCAUGCUUCAUGGUCGUAAUUAUCCAACUAAAAUGCGACUGAAUGGUGGGCUGUGGGUGCAUGGUUUUGCUGGUCGCACCCAUGGCAGUUAAGGACCGGUUCGCGGGAUGCCCUGGAAGAACUUAUCGUACUUACCACAAGCCAGCGUGGGCAACGGCUGGGCUUGUAGUGUAGCUUUCCUCUAGCCGACGCAUCCAGGCAAGGGUGGGCGUGAUGGAGUUUGGAUGGGCCCUGCGACGGCCUAUGCGGCUUCCGGAUUCACCUAGGCACGAGAGGGGACUGCCCGCUGCCUUGCGAGGAGUGGGGGUGAAACCUGAGGUGUGGUGUGCUUGGUUAGAGGGGGUUAUGCGAAGGGUCCUGUCACGGCCUCUUUCCGGUAUGUCGUGGUGGCAUGUCGGCGCACGGAAACGUGUCGUGGGGCUGUGUCUUGUGGGUACAGUUGUACACCUCUGAUCAGAGUAAAACUAUUCGAAUAGCCGUGCCCGCGGUUAUGGGCGGUCGACCAGAUUCACCGUGAUUAGUCUCACACUUAAUAAAUCGACCUAAUACACUGUAGUUUAGGUGGGUUGGUUGGGCCUGUUCAACGUGGUGUAGCGUUGAUCAGUGGAGAUUUAAUGUUACUUUAAUUACUCAACAGUUUUACUGUUUUGCUCAAUAAAAUGUUUUACAACCGCCUUUAUGCAAAUAGCCACAAACCGUCCUUGUGUUCCCCUUGCACGUCUGCAUCGUUGGUGUGGCUUGCUGAGUACGGUGGUUGUACUCAGUCUUGCUAUUAUUCCCCCUUUUCAGAAGUGUAGUGCUUCUGAGCUGAAGACGAAGUUAGAGGACCAAGGCUCAGACCCCAGUUGAGUUUUGCCUGUGGAGUGGAGCUGAAGCCCCGCUAGGAUCGCCUUUUUCCGCUGCUGCUGUUUUCGUUUCGGUGCGAGGACUAAGUGCCUCUUUUGUAAGUAUUUUACGCUUUAUUUAUGUUUGGAACUGUAUAUUACUUGUCGUUUUGUGUACCCUGGCUGGUCCUGGACAGGGAUUUAAUACACAAAAUAGUCUGGAAAUUUGGGCUAAAUUUCUGGGCGUGACAAAGUGGUAUCAGAGCCAACUUGACUAUAGGUUGAGCCAAAUGGUCAAACCCUAAGGACAAGUUUUCUGAAAACCCUACUUGCAAAUUGUCUCCUCUCGCCCUUCGGCAUUUCUUUGUGAAACGGUUUUUCAAAAUUCUCCUCCCAAUCUCUCCAAUUCUUUUAGUUGUCAAACCUAGAGGACCAGCUGUCAGCUUCAUGUCUGUUCGGAAGUCAAGUCAAUUCGAGCCUCAAGCUUCGUGCAAGGAGCGAGAAGAUCAGUUCAGAGUCGUCGUUCUGCGAAGAUCAAGUGGAGUUUUCUCGGAGAUGACCUAAACCCAAUCUUUCCCAGAAGAGUAGUUCCGUUAGCUUUCUAGAUCGUGUGUUGUUUGCUUGUGUGUAGGGGUAUGGUUUGCAUCAUUGGUGGGGAUGCGACCAUACUAGGUUGUUUGCUUAAGCAACUUGAAGAAUAAAAGUCUACUCACAACAUAUCAGUAGGCAAGUGGUUUAGUACCUUAUCUUUAGCAACCCCUCUGUUCCACCUCUCUUCCGUCCUGGCAGCGGAUGGUCAGUGUCAGAGAUAAGAUCAAUUAAAGUCACCAAUCAAUGGUUCAGUUGAAAGCUACAAGGUAUCCCAGUGCCAGAAGAACCCUGCUCGUGAUCAACAUUUGGUGUCCAAGAUUAGAUGAUGGAUGUAUUGAUGCGGGAGAUGCAAAGCUCGAUGCAAGGUCAAGUGUAGCAGAAAGAACUCCAGCAGAUGUGUGUUGCAGUCAAGAGUCAGUGUGUCCAUGAGCUAAAUGAGAGUCACUUUUAUGUGGAAUUUCCUAUCAUCAACUAAGGCUUAAGUUCCAAAUCUUGUCGGGAUGAAAGCGCAUCGCCAUUGCUUCAAUUUGAUGGACCGAUGAAGUUUCAGUCUUCAAAGUCAGGGCAUCUGUAAAUCCGAGAAAUGUUGGUCAUUUUUUCAAGGACAACAGUUCAAAGGUUCUCAGUCAGGCGAAAGUAAGACUACCCACUGUAAGGGGGGUAGGUCUCAGAGAUGAGUUUUGGUUUACCUCGUCGGCAUUUCACUUGAAUGUUCAACCCAGUGCAGCAAUUUGGUUAGUAAUUAAAGGAGUCCGUUGCGAGCCACUAGCAGAGUCUCUCAAUCUCAAGUCAACAGGUUCAAUUCUAAUGUACACCCGUGAGGCCAGGGCAACAGUUCAGCUUAGAGAAGUAGCAUCGAGGAUGGUUGCAGUUCAGACGAAAGACAGGUCAAGCAGGUUUCCUAGAAUUACUUGUCAUUUGAGUUGGGACCAAUCCAAGCGGACAUAGGGUAAAUGAUUUAUAAAUGCCAGAUUCCAUUUUCAUCCUCUUAUAGCCAGCGUGGUGAAUUCUCAGGUUACCAAAAUUGCUAACCUCAACAGUUCAGUCCAAGCUGAGUAAGUUUCAGGAGCAUCCGCAGUCCUAGACUGGGUCAGUUCAAGCAGAACCAGUCGGUCCAGUUUUGGCAAAGCAAAGGAACAGAAAGGUCGAAUCCAGCCAGUUCAAUCGUGCAGGUUUGAUCAACCAGUCAAUCAAUCAGUUCGAAGCAGAAGGUGGCAGUUCAAGGUGCAGAUCAGUCAGACCGCCCAUCAGCACCGGCUUUCUUUCUAGCCAUCCCAGAAUCUCGGGACGAGAUUCCUGUAAGGGGGGUAGAUUUGUAACGCCCCGAUUUUCGUUCGGUAUUAAAAAUCAUUUAAUAAUGCAUUUCCUAGAAAUUGAAUAAAAAGUUAAUCAAUUUAAUCAAGUGAAAUAAUGGGAGAAUUAAAAUUUUCCCUUAAAAAUCAUUGGCCGGGAAUAUUUUGUAAUAUUCUUUGUGCCUUAAAAUACUCUCCGGAUUUUUCCGUGAAUUUUCGGAGCUCAAGAAGUAAUUAUAAUAAUACAAAGUUCAUUUAAUCAAUUUAAAUAAAAAGAAAAGAAAAUAAUCUUCCCCUUCCUCCCUUUCGGGCUCGGCCUAAGAAUCCUUCCCCUCCCGCGGCCCGCGCCCUCUCUCUCCCUCUCCCGGCCGGCCUCCCUCCCCAUCUCUUGGGCCGUCGGCCCGUUUCCUCUCUCCCUCGUGAAGUCUGUUUUACGUCCCCCAUCCAGCUCUCCCUCCCUCUCUCCCCGACAGGUGGGACCCGUGGACCCACCUGUCAUCCCCUUCCUCCAGCUCCAACUGCCGCCAUGGCCGCCCGAGCCGCCCCACGUCGCCGCCUCUCCCGCGGGACUCCCUCUCCUGCGCGUGUGUGGACGCGGUCAUCGCCCACGUCCGCGCCGUUUCCCCCCUCUCCCCGCAAAAUCCGGCCACGUCGCCGCCUCCCGCACCUCUCUCUCCUCCCACGUCGCCGGCCAGUUUCCACCCCUCUCGGGCUCGAUCCCGCCUCCCCUCCCCUAUAAAAACAAUCCCCGGCCUCCCCUCAUCCAUUUUCCCCCUUUUCCCCAAGCCGCCGCGCCCUCCCUCGCUCUCCCCGCGCCGAGCCCAUGCACCGCCGCUCUCCGGCGAACUCCAGCAGCGCCGCGCCGCCGCUCCCGUCCACCCCGCACUGCGCCGUCGCCCUCCCCAGCACCGCAGCCGCCAUGCGCACCUCGUCCACCGCUCCGUCCUCUCCUUCCACCCCUGCAGCACCAUUCCCACCGUGCAAGCCGAAACCACCGCCAUUCACCGCCUCCAGCCGCCUGCUACUGCCGCCCUAGGGGUUGCCGCGCCGUGCCGUUUGUGUCAUCGGCAUCGCUGUGCCGAGCUCUACCCCGGCCCCUACUCCUUUUCCCCUCCCGGCCUCCAAAACACCGCCACCACGUGCACCACCUCUCUCCGCUGUCGCCGCUCCCGCACCCUGCCACCACCGCAGCCGGCUUCGCCGCCGCGAGGACAAGCCUGUCGGCCGCUCCCCUCCCCCAAUCGACCGCAAGCUGUCACCUCCACUGCCAACCCGAGGCCGCCGCCGCUUUCGCCGCCCCUCGCCGCUGAAAUUCCACGGGAGCCCGCUUUUCCCCGUUCAAGGUCCCGGAGGCCCCCGGCCGUCACUCGUCGCCCGUCGGCCGCCGUUAGGGCGCCGCCGUCGUCCUCGCCCGGGGAGCGCCGCCGCUACCUCGCCUCCGUCCGGUGCCGUGCCGCUUGGUGAGCAUCCCCCUUCCUCCUCUCCUUUCCGCCGCCGGUCGCCUCUCCGUGGUCGUCUCGCCGUCGCCGCCCUCGGUGAGCACUCCUCUCCCCUCCCUCUUUCUCCCCUUGGCCGGCCGUCUCCCGUGCUUGCGCGUGCCGUGCCGCCGCCGCCGGUGGCCGCCCGGCCCGUGUGCCGCCGUCACUUCGGUCCCGGCCGCCGCCGCCGCCAGCUUUGUGUGAGCGCUGGCCAGGCCGCGCCGCCCGGCUGUCCCCAGCCGUCCGAUCGGCCUUGGCCGAUCUGGGCCGUCCUCGGGGUGGACGCGCACCCGAGGCACGUGUGGACCAUGUCCACCGUGCGCCCUCCCCCUUUGACUCGCUGACGUGUGGGGCCCGCGUGUCGGCGCCGGCCGCCCCUUGCUGACGUCAGCGAGGACCAUUUCCUUUGUAAAAAUAAAUAAUAAUUGCGCAAUAAAUCGGUAAUAAUUGUAGAAAUCCAUUAAAAUGGCUCAAAACUUCUAAAAUUCAUAUCUAAUUCAUUCGAACUCCGAAUUGAGCCAUUCAACUUGCAAAAUUCAUCUAAAAUUGAGCUCUACAUGUUUGUUUACUUUUUAUGUACUGUUUCCUUGGUUUUUAUUAGAGUUUUUCCUCGUUUUGCGUGCCAGCGUGUAGUUUCCGCCGUUUCGGAAGAUUGCGUUCGCAAGGAUAAGAGUACAGAAGAUCCAAGUGAAGAAGCAAGGCAAGUCACACAUUCCCCUUGAGCAUUUUGAUCCUAAUUUACAAAUGUUUUACUGUUUGCAAAUAAAUAUGCAUGUUUUGCUAAUUACACGGGAUCAGGGUUUACCUAUCUGCUCGCUUGUGCCAUGUUUACUUGAUAUCUGUUCUUUGUCAACUUUGGGUAAUGAAUCGACUAGCUCAUGUUACUUAUGUGACCUAGCUAGAACUAUAUGCUUAGCCAUGCUUAAUUACCACUAGCUCAGUUGAUGGGAUAAUUACAGUAUUAGACCUUUUUAGUAUCAGAAUGAGCUGCGUGCUCGAGACACCUGGCCAUGCUUCAUGGUCGUAAUUAUCCAACUAAAAUGCGACUGAAUGGUGGGCUGUGGGUGCAUGGUUUUGCUGGUCGCACCCAUGGCAGUUAAGGACCGGUUCGCGGGAUGCCCUGGAAGAACUUAUCGUACUUACC
rnacentral:lncRNA from 1 species